UUGUACAUAAGGGUUUUGAAAGCCUUUCUAGGUCAAGUAUUGACCACCUAGUGCAAC
rnacentral:tRNA from 1 species